rnacentral:rRNA from 1 species
GACGAACGCUGGCGGCGUGCUUAACACAUGCAAGUCGAACGGAAAGGCCCUGCUUUUGUGGGGUGCUCGAGUGGCGAACGGGUGAGUAACACGUGAGUAACCUGCCCUUGACUUUGGGAUAACUUCAGGAAACUGGGGCUAAUACCGGAUAGGAGCUCCUGCUGCAUGGUGGGGGUUGGAAAGUUUCGGCGGUUGGGGAUGGACUCGCGGCUUAUCAGCUUGUUGGUGGGGUAGUGGCUUACCAAGGCUUUGACGGGUAGCCGGCCUGAGAGGGUGACCGGCCACAUUGGGACUGAGAGACGGCCCAGACGCCUACGGGAGGCAGCAGUGGGGAAUAUUGCAUAAUGGGCGGAAGCCGGAGGCAGCAACGCCGCGUGCGGGAGGACGGCCUUCGGGUUGUAAACCGCUUUCGCCUGUGACGAAGCGUGAGUGACGGUAAUGGGUAAAGAAGCACCGGCUAACUACGU